UGGGGCUGUUGGGACUGGAAGCUCUUUGCCGGGCGCGCUCUGCGGUGCCUUUCCUUUGUGGGCCGAGGCCUGGCGCUGGCGUGCGAGCCCUGGAACGCCUUUCGUGGGCGUGGGCCAUCCGGCCACGCCUGUCCAGCCUGCAGUCACGAAAUGGGUUCACAGCUUUGAUGAAAUGGACAUGCCUGACUGGUGAGAAGUAACUGUCACUGACUAUUCCUUUUUUGUAGUCCUUCAUCACUUUGAGAUGUUUCUCCAGGAUUCCUGAUUGUCAUCUGUGGGAUGGUUAACGUGACUUUGUCGUUCAUUUCAUUCUUCCUUCACAAGCAUCCUGGAACCCAAAGAGAUAGGAAACUGAGGACAUUCGUGCAGGUGUUUUAAAGAACAGCAACGGGGAGAUUUGGCAUCCGAUAGGUGAAACUGUCCCCCACGAUUACUCCAUACACUGAGACUCCUUCAAAAGAGAUACACCAGGCUGACGUAAACGCACAGAAGCAGGAACAUGUAAUGCCCACAGCCGAGACUCUUUUUCUUCCUAUCCCACGUGGGUCCGAUUAAAUGCCAAGGGUCCUGGGGAGUCCACAGUGCAACUAUGGAAUCAGACAGGCACCCUUGAGUGAACAUAUGUGCUGUCCCAGGACUGGGCCUCUGGUGCUUAGGACAGUGUCGGAAUCACAGUAAGGCCCCUUGAUGCAAACUCCUAUACUUUCCCGGUCCACUCCUUCCAUGUUAGAUCUUGCAAUUCACAUCACAUCUCUCCUUACACCUCCAUCUAUGCGAACAGCCAAAUUUGGGUCAAUGGUUCUGAGAACAUGGAAGGAAGCCCUUACAGAACUUCCCUCCUAGCCACAGUUGAAACUAGAUACUCUGCCUUCCAUGUUGUCAUUAUGGAUAACUGUCUACACCCCUAUCAAAAUCCAGGCCUGGAGCUGGGCACUACCUUCAUCUCUGCUUGAUGAACUCGAUGAGUCAGUGUUGCCUGAGGAAUGCUCCUCGAGUUCUCCACCACAUCACUGAUUCUGCCUUCUUUGCUGGAUGAGUCCCAUUCAACUGUUCUACAAAGUCUCACAGUUUAAGAAUAGAACAAGAAGCAAACAAACAAAACUGAACUGCACAAUCCCUCCAACUAUACCAACCAACCACAUUAUAUAGUUGUGCUCAGAAACCCAAAGGCUGAACCACGAAGUGGCUUCCACAAAGGAAGCAUUUUGUUAGCAAGUGGUGCCAUGUCAGGAGGACAGCAGAGUCAGUCCUCAGAAAAGGCUGCCUUCCCCAGUGGCAAGUGAAGAAAGAUUGUAUAGGGAAGAAAGGAAUGCGGAGACAUGCAAGAGUGGGGAGGGCUUCUACACGCUCAAGUCUGGGGGUACCGGGUCUAGGGAUAGUCAAUCACAGUACUAUUUUUUUAAAAGAUUUAUUAUGUAUACAAGAGCUGGGGUACAGGCCAGAGACGUGGGGUAGGGGGUGAGAGUAUUCACCAGAGACAGAGUAGGGGAACAGAGCAGGCAGGUCAAUCACAAUACUAUUGAUAGUAUUUCUGUAGUAGUUGCUCUCUUCUCUGUUAUUAGAAGGACACUUGGUUGUUUGUCCCACUAUAGAGAGCUGUGUGGAGAUUCCUCAACCUACUAAACGUAGAGCUUCCAUAUGAUCCAGCAAUUCCACUCCUAGGUAUUUACCCAAAGGACACAGAAACAUCAAUUCCAAAGAGCACCUGCACCCCUAUGUUUAUAGCAGCACUAUUUACAAUAGCUAAGCUUUGGAAACAACCCAAAUGCCCAAAAAUAGAUGACUGGAUCAAGAAGAUGUGGUACACAUACCCCAUGGAAUAUUACUCGGCCUUCAAAAAAGAUAAACACAUGCAAUUUGCAGCAACAUGGAUGGCGCUGGAAGGGAUCAUGCUCAGUGAAAUAAGCCAGAAAGAAAAAGAAAAAUACCGGAUGGUCUCACUCAUAGCAGGAAUCUAGAAAACCUAAAUAAGGGACCAGGAAAAAGAAUAACUAUAAGAAAGAAAAAAUCAAAAUCAACAAACAACUAUGAACCAGAGACACACUAUGGGGGGGGCAGGGAAAGGAGGGAUUGGGAUCAAAACAAGGGGUUGCAAUUGUAUGGGGAAUAUAAAAAUAAAAUUUAAAAUAAAAGGAUUAGGUUUUAUAAUGAAAAAAAAAAAAGGAGAAGGACACUUGGUUGUUUGUCAAGCACUGAUAUAAUUAGCAUCCUGAAAAGGAACAGAAACUUUUUGCUAAGCACUGGGCACAGCCCUGAGGAAUGCAACACACUGGCUUCUAAGGCAGGGGUCAUGUCCUUAUUUUUGAUACAGGCCGGAUCACACAUCUACUGCAUCAUCUUCUCUCUACUUCCUUGUUACAACAAAGUUCCUCAAAACUCAUUGUUUUUCAGACCUCCAUUUUUUGAUUUCCAUUUUCACUUGAAUGUACCCCACUAGCCCAAUCAAGCUUUCGUUACCACUCUCCAGUGAAAUUGCUCUUCACCAGGACCUGCACAUUGCUAAAUUUGGCCAUUUCAAUGCUUGUCUUACUUGAUUAAUUAGUAGCCUUUGGCACAGUUGAUCACUUCCUCCUGUUGCAAUACUUGCAUCACUUUACAGGACAUUUUUGUCUCUUGGCCUUCCUUCUGCUGCAGGGUCUGCUAUUUUCCAGUGUUCUGGCUAGUUGCUCUCUGUACUGGAGUACUCUGAGUUUCAACACUUAGAUUUAUUUUCUUCCCUAUUUAUGCUCACUCCCCACAGAAUCAUGCAUAGUUCCAUCAUUUUGAUCAUAUCCACACAUAGGAAUGUCACACAUUAAUGUUUCAAGUCCAGUCUUCUCCCUAAACUCCAGGUUCAUAUAUUCAAUUGCUUACUCAACAUAACCAACUGGAUAGCUAAUGCGUAUCUCCAUUUCAAAUUCAUCAUAUACUGAACUAGGUCACUUAUUCUACCUCUCAUCAAAGCUACUCCUAUUAUUUUCCCAAUCUUACGACUUUUUAACACUCACCCACCAAUUUGGUGAUUUAAAUUCUACUAGAUAAUUAUUUCUCUAAUUUAUCUGGCUUUUAAAAUUCUUUUGCAUAACUACUUCUCUUUAUUUUCUUAGUUUCUUCUCUAUUGCGGCAUAAAAAACAUACAAAACACUCAAGCAGUACCUGGAUGUUCCUAACCAAAACAAAAAAAG